rnacentral:rRNA from 1 species
GACGAACGCUGGCGGCGUGCCUAAUACAUGCAAGUAGAACGCAGUUGCGAACGGGUGAGUAACGCGUAGGUAACUGCCUGGUAGCGGGGGAUAACUAUUGGCAACGCUAGCUAAUACCGCAUACUACCAGAUGGACCUGCGUUGUAUUAGGUAGUUGGUGAGGUAACGGCUCCCCAAGGCAACGAUACAUAGCCGACCUGAGAGGGUGGUAGGCCACACUGGGAAUGGGAAACGGCCCAGACGCCCAAGGGAGUCAGCAGGAGGGAAUCUUCGGCAAUGGGGGGAACCCUGGCCGAGCAACGCCGCGUGAGUGAAGAAGGUUUUCGGAGCGUAAAGCUCUGUUGUUAAGGAAGCGGUACUUAACCAGAAAGGGACGGCUAACUACGUGCCAGCCGCCGCGGUAAUAC